rnacentral:lncRNA from 1 species
GGAGGAUGCUCCUGGAAAUCUGGGCCAGCCACAGAACCCUGUUUGUGCUGCGGACGCUGUGUGGAGACGUUUUGCAAUGCCCGAGGGAGGCUGGCACACCAGGGAUGCAGAGACAGUCAGCCGGAGCCCAAUGAGAGCUGGCAAGUUUCUCCUGCCCCAGGCAGGAAACUCUGCACUAUUUAGAAGUGUCAGAGCAACCCCUGAAAAUGUUAACCAGAUUGCACACACAACACAGAAGGAGGGAGGGGGAAUACGACUGAUCAGAAACACCUCCUUUUUUUUUGGAAAUGUAUAAUAGUUAACUGUUGUAAUUCCUUUAUACCAUGUGUUGGACAACUUAGCUAAUAUGUUAAUUGAUUUAUACAAUUUCUUUCAAUUUUCAAAUGGAAUCUUAUGUAAGAAACA